AAUUUUGGACAAUGGGGGCAACCCUGAUCCAGCCAUGCCGCGUGUGGGAAGAAGGCCUUCGGGUUGUAAAGCACUUUUGGCAGGGACGAAAAGGCCCGGGCUAAUCCCUGAAGCUGCUGCCGGUACCGUCAGAAUAGGCACGGGCAAACUACGUGCCGGCAGCCGCGGUAAUACGUAGGGUGCAAGCGUUAAUCGGAAUUACUGGGCGUAAAGCGUGCGUAGGCGGUUCGGCAAGAAGGAUGUGAAAUCCCAGGGCUUAACCUUGGAACUGCAUUCUUAACUGCCGGGCUAGAGUAUGUCAGAGGGGGGUAGAAUUCCGCGUGUAGCAGUGAAAUGCGUAGAGAUGCGGAGGAAUACCGAUGGCGAAGGCAGCCCCCUGGGAUAAUACUGACGCUCAUGCACGAAAGCGUGGGGAGCAAAC
rnacentral:rRNA from 1 species